rnacentral:rRNA from 1 species
AUUGAACGCUGGCGGCAUGCCUUACACAUGCAAGUCGAACGGCAGCGGGGGAGAAGCUUGCUUUUCCUGCCGGCGAGUGGCGAACGGGUGAGUAAUACAUCGGAACGUGCCCUGUAGUGGGGGAUAACUAGUCGAAAGAUUAGCUAAUACCGCAUACGACCUGAGGGUGAAAGUGGGGGACCGCAAGGCCUCAUGCUAUAGGAGCGGCCGAUGUCUGAUUAGCUAGUUGGUGGGGUAAAGGCCUACCAAGGCGAUGAUCAGUAGCUGGUCUGAGAGGACGAUCAGCCACACGGGGAUUGAGACACGGCCCAGACUCCUACGGGAGGCAGCAGUGGGGAAUUUUGGACAAUGGGCGAAAGCCUGAUCCAGCAAUGCCGCGUGUGUGAAGAAGGCCUUCGGGUUGUAAAGCACUUUUGUCCGGAAAGAAAUGGCUCUGGUUAAUACCUGGGGUCGAUGACGGUACCGGAAGAAUAAGGACCGGCUAACUACGUGCCAGCAGCCGCGGUAA